UGGGGAAUAUUGCACAAUGGGCGCAAGCCUGAUGCAGUCAUGCCGCGUGUGUGAAGAAGGCCUUCGGGUUGUAAAGCACUUUCAGCGGGGAGGAAGGCGUUAAGGUUAAUAACCUUGGCGAUUGACGUUACCCGCAGAAGAAGCACCGGCUAACUCCGUGCCAGCAGCCGCGGUAAUACGGAGGGUGCAAGCGUUAAUCGGAAUUACUGGGCGUAAAGCGCACGCAGGCGGUCUGUCAAGUCGGAUGUGAAAUCCCCGGGCUCAACCUGGGAACUGCAUUCGAAACUGGCAGGCUAGAGUCUUGUAGAGGGGGGUAGAAUUCCAGGUGUAGCGGUGAAAUGCGUAGAGAUCUGGAGGAAUACCGGUGGCGAAGGCGGCCCCCUGGACAAAGACUGACGCUCAGGUGCGAAAGCGUGGGGAGCAAACAGG
rnacentral:rRNA from 1 species